GCGGCGAUAGCUCGGUGGGUAAAGUGCCAUGUGAGUAGAUGGCGAUUACUCCGAGAGCUAUUAUCCGCGCGGGUUCGAAUCCCGCCUGUGGCA
rnacentral:tRNA from 1 species